rnacentral:rRNA from 1 species
AUUGAACGCUGGCGGCAUGCUUUACACAUGCAAGUCGAACGGUAACAGGUUAAGCUGACGAGUGGCGAACGGGUGAGUAAUGCAUCGGAACGUGCCCGGUCGUGGGGGAUAACGCAGCGAAAGCUGCGCUAAUACCGCAUACGAUCUGAGGAUGAAAGCGGGGGACCGUAAGGCCUCGCGCGAUCGGAGCGGCCGAUGUCAGAUUAGGUAGUUGGUGGGGUAAGGGCUCACCAAGCCAACGAUCUGUAGCUGGUCUGAGAGGACGACCAGCCACACUGGGACUGGGACACGGCCCAGACUCCUACGGGAGGCAGCAGUGGGGAAUUUUGGACAAUGGGCGAAAGCCUGAUCCAGCAAUGCCGCGUGCAGGAAGAAGGCCUUCGGGUUGUAAACUGCUUUUGUACGGAGCGAAAAGGUCUCCUCUAAUACAGGGGGCUCAUGACGGUACCGUAAGAAUAAGCACCGGCUAACUACGUGCCAGCCGCCGCGGUAACAC